AUACGUAGGGGGCGAGCGUUGUCCGGAAUGAUUGGGCGUAAAGGGCGCGUAGGCGGCGCGGUAAGUCUGGAGUGAAAGUCCUGCUUUCAAGGUGGGAAUUGCUUUGGAUACUGCCGCGCUUGAGUGCAGGAGAGGUUAUCGGAAUUCCCGGUGUAGCGGUGAAAUGCGUAGAGAUCGGGAGGAACACCAGUGGCGAAGGCGGGUAACUGGACUGCAACUGACGCUGAGGCGCGAAAGUGUGGGGAGCAAACAGGAUUAGAUACCCUGGUAGUCCACGCUGUAAACGAUGAUGACUAGGUGUGGGGGGACUGAACCCUUCCGUGCCGCAGUUAACACAAUAAGUCAUCCACCUGGGGAGUACGGCCGCAAGGUUGAAACUCAAAGGAAUUGACGGGG
rnacentral:rRNA from 1 species